UACUUACUUUAACCCAGGCCCGAUCCAAC
rnacentral:piRNA from 1 species